GACGAACGCUGGCGGCGUGCUUAACACAUGCAAGUCGAACGGACAGGCCCUGCUUGCAGGGUACUCGAGUGGCGAACGGGUGAGUAACACGUGGGUGAUCUGCCCUGCACUUCGGGUUAAGCCUGGGAAACUGGGUCUAAUACCGGAUAGGAGCCAUUUUUAGUGUGAUGGUUGGAAAGUUUUUUCGGUGUAGGAUGAGCUCGCGGCCUAUCAGCUUGUUGGUGGGGUAAUGGCCUACCAAGGCGGCGACGGGUAGCCGGCCUGAGAGGGUGGACGGCCACAUUGGGACUGAGAUACGGCCCAGACACCUACGGGAGGCAGCAGUGGGGAAUAUUGCACGAGGGGCGCAAGCCUGAUGCAGCGACGCCGCGUGGGGGAUGACGGCCUUCGGGUUGUAAACUCCUUUCGCUAGGGACGAAGCUUUUUGUGACGGUACCUAGAUAAGAAGCACCGGCUAACUACGUG
rnacentral:rRNA from 1 species